AAGUCGUAACAAGGUUUCCGUAGGUGAACCUGCGGAAGGAUCAUUACAGUAUUCUAUUGCCAGCGCUUAAUUGCGCGGCGAUAAACCUUACACACUUUGUUUUUAUUAUUAAAGACACCAUUGCUUUGGUGGAUGAGUGUAAAAGCUUGUCCGCCAGAGGUUAACUAAACUCAAUUAUUUAAAGGUAACUUUUUAAAUUGUCAAUAAUAAUUUGUCUGAUUAAUUUCGGAGAAAACAAAUAUUUAAAAU
rnacentral:misc_RNA from 1 species